GUGGGGAAUAUUGGACAAUGGGCGCAAGCCUGAUCCAGCCAUGCCGCGUGUAUGAAGAAGGUCUUCGGAUUGUAAAGCACUUUAUGUUGGGAGGAAGGGCAGUAAGUUAAUACCUUGCUGUUUUGACGUUACCGACAGAAUACGCACCGGCUAACUUCGUGCCAGCAGCCGCGGUAAUACGAAGGGUGCAAGCGUUAAUCGGAAUUACUGGGCGUAAAGCGUGCGUAGGUGGGGUUGUAAGUCAGAGGUGAAAUCCCCGAGCUCAACCUGGGAACUGCCUCUGAGACUGUAUGACUGGAGUACGGUAGAGGGUAGUGGAAUUUGCUGUGUAGCGGUGAAAUGCGUAGAUAUACGAAGGAACACCGAUGGCGAAGGCGACUACCUGGACUGAUACUGACGCUGAGGCGCGAAAGCGUGGGGAGCAAACAGGAUUAGAAACCCCAGUAGUCC
rnacentral:rRNA from 1 species